rnacentral:rRNA from 1 species
GAUGAACGCUGACAGAAUGCUUAACACAUGCAAGUCUUUGGCGAAGCUGUGCUUGCACAGCCUAGCCAAGGCGGACGGGUGAGUAACGCGUAAGAAACUUGCCCUGCAGUCAGGGAUAACAGACGGAAACGACUGAUAAGACCUGGUAAAGUCAGGCGGACUCAUGUCCAGCCUGAUGAAAAGAGAUGCUGCAGGAGAGCCUUGCGUCCUAUUAGCUUGUUGGUGGGGUAACGGCCCACCAAGGCGAUGAUAGGUAGCCGGCCUGAGAGGGUGGACGGCCACAAGGGGACUGAGAUACGGCCCUUACUCCUACGGGAGGCAGCAGUGGGGAAUAUUGGACAAUGGGGGCAACCCUGAUCCAGCAAUUCUGUGUGCACGAUGAAGGUUUUCGGAUUGUAAAGUGCUUUCAGCAGGGAAGAAAAAAAUGACGGUACCUGCAGAAGAAGCGACGGCUAAAUACGUG